GACGAACGCUGGCGGCGUGCUUAACACAUGCAAGUCGAACGGAAAGGCCCUGCUUUUGUGGGGUGCUCGAGUGGCGAACGGGUGAGUAACACGUGAGUAACCUGCCCUUGACUUUGGGAUAACUUCAGGAAACUGGGGCUAAUACCGGAUAGGAGCUCCUGCUGCAUGGUGGGGGUUGGAAAGUUUCGGCGGUUGGGGAUGGACUCGCGGCUUAUCAGCUUGUUGGUGGGGUAGUGGCUUACCAAGGCUUUGACGGGUAGCCGGCCUGAGAGGGUGACCGGCCAAAAUGGGAAUGGAGAACGGCCCAGACGACUACGGGAGGCAGCAGUGGGGAAUAUUGCAACAAGGGGGGAAGCCUGAAGGGGCAACGCCGCGGGGGAGAUAAAGGCCUUAGGGUUGAAGACCGUUUUCGCCUGUGGAAAAGAGUAUGUCAGGGUAAGGGGAAAAGGCGCCCGGGCAACCUGCG
rnacentral:rRNA from 1 species